CUGCCAUUACGGACUGCCAUUACAAUAUAAAAAGCCCAUAAACUUUAGUGUCACAUGACCAUUCAGAAAUCAUACUGAUUUGCUGCUCAAGAAACAUUUCUUAUUAUUAUCAAUAUUGAAAAACAGUUGUGUUUUUAUAACAUUAUAAAUGUCUUUACUGUCACUUUUGAUUGUUUAAUGGGUCCUCACAUUAAUUUCUAUCAAAAAAAAUAAUAAUAAUUUGUGUAUAGUAGUGUAUAAUGACUGAUAUUGGAUGUUUAAUUGUGCAGGCUCAUUUCUCCUAUUUUUACAUGGACACCGAGGAAAGUAAAGUUACAAGAAAGUGCAUACAUCCAUCAUAAAUGUACUCCACACGGCCUUCCGUAAAUUUUUUUUGUAAGUUGAAUAGUGAAGGCGUAGGACGUAGCAUAAGCGUUUUGAACUGCGAGAGGCGUUACACUUUCUUCGUAAAGUUGAAUACGGAAGGCGGUCUGGCAGAAGCUAGAUAUUUUACUUUAUAACUCGUUAAAUAUGGAUAUUUUUCUUACACGAAUGCACCGCUUCAGAAGGCCUUAAUAAACCCCCCCCAGAGCCGUGUGGAGUAUGUUUAUGAUGGAUGGAUGCACUUUCUUGAGCUUCAUACUCGUUGGUCCCGUUCACUGCCAUUAUAAAGCUUGGAUACAUCAGGAUAUUUAUUAAUAUAACUCCGAUUGUGUUCAUCAGAAAGAAGAAAGUCAUAUACACUGUGGGGGAAAUGUAGAGUUUCUGUAUAAUUUCCAUAUGAUUAUCCUUAUAUGCUUAUGAUUAAAUGAUUUUGUUUUUCUCAAAAUUGCUUAAAUAUGCAUUCUUUGGGUGACUUUGUGUGACAAGUGGAAAAACACUGAAGUGGUAAACAUGUUCCUAAUAUGGUAAAAGGACAGAGGCUUCAGCCUUGGAGUUUAGAGAUAUAAAAGUGAGGGGAAGCUUUCAUUCUUUGUCUUACACUCUGCAGCUACUUGUGUUUUUGUAUGACUGUCUGACCUUUCUUGCAAGAAAUAAAACUUUCAAAAGACAAUUGGACAUGUUUGUCUCUUAUGCAGUAAGAGUCAGUUGAUUUUUUGCCACAACAAUUUGGUGUCAGAAGAAGGGGAUUCCUUGGAUGUGCCUUUUGCACCCGAGAGUGGACGGUGACUGAUCAACCUGGACUUAGUAGUCUCAGCCCUACCCCGAAUAGAUUGAGGGAUGAGGGGCCGACCGCCAGGGUCCAGAAGGGGACACCACUGAAAUCAGUAAACGAACCCAGGUGGCAUCACGACUCUCUGGUCAUUAGACAUGGCAGAGGAUAAUUCCAAGGCAUGGUGGUGGCUAAAGAUGAAGACCACUUUUGCAGAUUGUAGAGAAAGUUAAGUGAAUUCAGCAUUUAACCUAAAGAUAACUUAAAAAUGCUCCUAGUCUAAGUUACAGUCUUGUGAGGUUUGAAAAGAUAAUUUGUGCAGUAAGAGAGAGAGAUGGCUGGGGUAAAGGUAAGGAUACUCUGUCUGUCUGCUAAAGCUUAAACAAAACGAAGCAAUGAGAUUAGAACCAAACAACUCAGCUGACUUUUAUAAAAAAAAAAAGAAUUAUAAUGAACAGAUAUGUUUUGAGACUGGAUAAGAGACCAUGUAAAAAAUAAGAGUAAAACCUAAAGAAAAAAUGUGAAGUUUAAAUAUGUGUUUUUUAGAUUUAACACCAAAAGCAAACCUUGAAAAUAAGCAUUUAAUAGUCAUGUGUGUCUAGUAUGAGUAUGAGUGAGUGUGAGGGUGACUGUACUUUAUGUUUUGUAUGUGUUAGUUUGGGGAAAUAUUCUGUCCUCAGAGUGUGUAUACGUCAUUAACCUCUGGAAUGAGUGUUUUACCAUUACAGAUGGGUUAAGUGAAAUGACACAUUUUGACAAGCCAAUAAUUCUGAUUGAAUCUGAUGAAAAGACGAUAUGGAAUUUGAAGACGAGCUUUAAGUGGAUUGGUCAUCCAGCUCUGUCUACUAGUGGUAAUUAUGACUACAUUUGUCAUUUAUGAUGAUGAUUUGAAUUACUCUCUGGAUUAGUAUGUUUAAGUAUUUAUGGAAAAUUGGAAUUGUGAAAUUGAAGAUUGCCGUCCAUGGGUUAAAAUCCCUUGUCUAAAUUCAACUAAAUUUAAACACUGUCAGCUAUGUGUGGUCACAAUGCUAAACGUAAAAUGUUGUAGACUUGACGGCAGAGAAACAGCGACACACUGGCAAUCAAAAAUUAUCCAGAGAGCCCAGUAACAUUCACAGUAUGAAGGACUGGUUGGAGAACAAAGGAGGAUGGGAAGGAACAUCACUGUUGUUUGACUAUCCUUGAUCAAGUACACCAUGACUUGACCUGCUAGACAAACCACUUGAUGGACGUGUUGUUUGUAGAUGGCUCUGCCUUCAGAGACAAAACAACAGGCCUGAAUUGCGAAGGAUAAGUUGUGACCAUGGAAUGUGAAGUGUUAGUUUCAGGGCCGCUGUCCUGUAAUUAUUUGGUAUGAGCAGAUGAGCUUGUGACCCUCACUGGAGCGGGUAAACUGAUGACAGACAAAAUUGUGACUAUCUACACAGACGCCCGUUAUUGGUUCGGGGUGGUAGACGAUCUUUGAGGUGCUGUGGUCUGAAUUCCUGUUUGUGCUGACAAAACUAAUGAAAAAAGUUUUUGUUUCUGUAGGAAGUGCUGGAGCAGACACAGGAGAUUGUGUGUAAUCUGUUAUCUGAAAAUAACUUUGAUUUUUCUAACUCUUUACAGAGCAUGUUCAGAGGCAGAGAACCUGGAGGAAAUCUGGUUGCAGAAUUAAAGACGGCGUUUAGUUUAGUGUUGAUGGCAAUACAUCAAAAUGGGGGAUGGUAACUCAAUUAAUGUAUGGCUGAAAAUAUGGCUGAAAUUUUUUUAAAUUAGGUUAGAAGACCCCAUUUUUGGGAAUGGAAGGGGAUAAACAAUGAGUGAAAUCAACUGAAUUGUGUGAACAUGGCAUGUUGAACUAUUGCAAAGAAAUGUCUUCUUUCCUCUCUAACGUUUGUGUACAGAAUUGCUAAAGUAUGCAUUCUUUGGGUGACAAGUGGAAAAACACUGAAGUGGUAAACAUGUUCCUAAUAUGGUAAAAGGACAGAGGCUUCAGCCUUGGAGGUUAGAGAUAGAGGUCUGCAUUCCUGCGGCUCUCCCGCGGGAACUGUGGGGCCCGAUAAGAUUUCUUGCUGCGCGGGAAUGAAAGACGGAUUGCGGUCGGUAACUUUAGUGUUCUUUAGGUGGGAGCGGGCGGUCUGACAAUAACCCAGUCGCUCCCGAGAUGCUUUGACAUCAGUGCAUCUGUGCUUGAACUUAAAGUGAACAAAAGUUUCUGCAGUGGUGGCGUUCACACAGUCCCCAGUUCCCUGUCCUGAGAAACCUGGCAAGAUAUGUUAUUUGCAUUAGAGAUCUGCGCGAGUGCACCUUCAGAGAACAUUGAACCUUUGUGAUCGGAUUUUGGAGGAGAGAGGUUCUGAAAUGGACAUCAGUCAGCGUCAUUCUGUUCUUGCGUGGGUGUUAAAAAAGACUUCAUUUUGCAGUAUAGCUAGUAAGCCAACAGUUUUCGUUUAUGUAAUUUUGGCAUAGCCUACAGUUUUGAGGGACAUGUUGUAGGCUAUUUAAUUUACCCUAUUUUUCUCUGUGAUAUUUAGCCUAUUAUUCUUUGUGACAUUUUUUAGGGUGUUGACAGCAUCAUAGACAAAUAACAAAUACAAAUCUUGUAUAUGCAACAUUUUAUAUUUGUUAUCCCCAAUCACUCUCUUUCUUUAGGGGAAGUUUAAAUGCGAGAUUCUGGAAACGAUCUUUAGCGGGACCCGUCGGGUCGGGAAGAAAAUCACUAUAUGCGGAUAGCGGGUGAACACAGAGUGAAUUUUAGGCGGGAGCGGGUGCGUGCAGAAUAGAACCAUUGCGGGAGCGGGACGAAAAAAACAGUCCCGCGCAGACCUCUAGUUAAAGUGAGGGGAAGCUUUUGUUCUUUGUCUUACACUCUGCAGCUACUUGUGUUUCUGUAUAACUGUCUGACCUUUCUUGCAAGAAAUAAAACUUUUGAAAGACAA